CAACUUUGCGCCGUGUUUUCCACUAAGCCUACCGACAGGCACUGUGCAGAUUCAAGCGGAGAGAAGUCCAAGCAGUGAGGCCGCUGCUGCACCGGCCAUCCUGAGCCCCUAGUCGGCCUUCCCGCCUCCGCUUCCCCGCCCCGCACUAGGACCCCUGCAGACGAUCAGGCGGCAGCUGGGGUGACUUCCUUCCUCUUUUGGCAACAUGGCGGGCGGAGAAGCUGGAGUGACUCUAGGGCAGCCGCAUCUUUCGCGUCAGGAUCUCACCACCUUGGAUGUUACCAAGUUGACGCCACUUUCACACGAAGUUAUCAGCAGGCAAGCCACAAUUAACAUAGGUACAAUUGGUCAUGUAGCUCAUGGGAAAUCCACAGUCGUCAAAGCUAUUUCUGGAGUUCAUACUGUCAGGUUCAAAAAUGAACUAGAAAGAAAUAUUACAAUCAAGCUUGGAUAUGCUAAUGCUAAGAUUUAUAAGCUUGAUGACCCAAGUUGCCCUCGGCCAGAAUGUUAUAGAUCUUGUGGGAGCAGUACACCUGAUGAGUUUCCUACAGACAUUCCAGGGACCAAAGGGAACUUCAAAUUAGUCAGACAUGUUUCCUUUGUUGACUGUCCUGGCCACGAUAUUUUGAUGGCUACUAUGCUGAACGGUGCAGCAGUGAUGGAUGCAGCUCUUCUGUUGAUAGCUGGUAAUGAAUCUUGCCCUCAGCCUCAGACAUCUGAACACCUGGCUGCUAUAGAGAUCAUGAAACUGAAGCAUAUUUUGAUUCUACAAAAUAAAAUUGAUUUGGUAAAAGAAAGUCAGGCUAAAGAACAAUACGAGCAGAUCCUUGCAUUUGUCCAAGGUACAGUAGCAGAGGGAGCUCCCAUUAUUCCAAUUUCGGCUCAGCUGAAAUACAAUAUUGAAGUUGUUUGUGAGUACAUAGUAAAGAAAAUUCCAGUACCCCCAAGAGACUUUACUUCAGAGCCCCGGCUUAUUGUUAUUAGAUCUUUUGAUGUCAACAAACCUGGCUGUGAAGUUGAUGACCUUAAGGGAGGUGUAGCUGGUGGUAGUAUCCUAAAAGGAGUAUUAAAGGUGGGCCAGGAGAUAGAAGUAAGACCUGGUAUUGUUUCCAAAGAUAGUGAAGGAAAACUCAUGUGUAAACCAAUCUUUUCCAAAAUUGUAUCACUUUUUGCGGAGCAUAAUGAUCUGCAAUAUGCUGCUCCAGGCGGUCUUAUUGGAGUUGGAACAAAAAUUGACCCCACUUUGUGCCGGGCUGACAGAAUGGUGGGGCAAGUACUUGGUGCAGUCGGAGCUUUACCUGAGAUAUUCACAGAAUUGGAAAUUUCCUAUUUCCUGCUUAGACGGCUUCUAGGUGUACGCACUGAAGGAGACAAGAAAGCAGCAAAGGUUCAAAAGCUGUCUAAGAAUGAAGUGCUCAUGGUGAACAUAGGAUCCCUGUCGACAGGAGGGAGAGUUAGUGCUGUCAAGGCCGAUUUGGGUAAAAUUGUUUUGACCAAUCCAGUGUGCACAGAGGUAGGAGAAAAAAUUGCCCUUAGCCGAAGAGUUGAAAAACACUGGCGGUAAGUUUGUUAGUCUUUGCCACUGUCUAAUUAAAAAAAGGCACAGUCUUGUACAGAAAAAAAAAGCACACACUCUUCCUUGAGGACAACAGUUACUGUGGCUUUCAGUCUCAACUAUUUAUUUGGAUGACUUUGAAAACUAUAAUUCGGCCGGGUGCGGUGGCUCACGCCUGUAAUCCCAGCACUUUGGGAGGCCAAGGCGGGUGGAUCAUGAGGUCAGGAGAUCAAGACCAUCCUGGCUAACACGGUGAAACCCUGUCUCUACUAAAAAAUACAAAAAAUUAGCCGGGCGUGGUGGCGGGCGCCUGUAGUCCCAGCUACUUGGGAGGCUGAGGCAGGAGAAUGGCGUGAACCUGGGAGUCGGAGCUUGCAGUGAGCCGAGAUGGUGCCACUGCACUCCAGCCUGGGCGACAGAGCGAGACUCCGUCUCAAAAAAAACUAUAACCUUGACUAUAGUCCGAUAUUUUAGUCCAAAUACUGUGAUUGGCUUCUCUUCCUGUUAGACACAACCUAUGCAAAACCGAAUGAAUUUGGGUUCGGUAUUUCUAUUGUCAUUGGCUUUGGAAAUCAUUUCACACUUAAUAGAAAAAUUGUAAGAAUUUUACAGAAAACUCCUGUAUAGCUUUUUCCUAGAUUGACAAACACACAUACAGAUUUAUUUACAUAUAUAAGUUUUUUUCUGAACCAUUUGAGGGUAGGCUAUAUAUGUUAUGCUUCUUGAUCUCUUGAUACUUCAGUGUAUAUUUCCCAUCAAAAAAGGAUAUUCUUAUAUAACCACUUAGAAAUUUAACAUUGGCAAAAUACUGAAAUCUACAGUGCAUGUUUCAGUUUUAUUGCUUGUCCCAAUAAUGUACUUUAUGUUCCUCCUGUUUAGAAUCUUGAAUUGCAUUGAAUUUCAUGUCUCUUUGAUCUUUAAUCUGGAGCUUUUUCAGCCUUUGUGUUAAUUGACAUUAACAGUUCUGAAGAAUACAAGCUAGUUACUUUAUAGAAUAUUCCUCAAUUUGGGUUUUUCUUAUCGUUCGGAAGCCUAACAUUAGAUUUAGGUUAUAUAUUCUUAACUUAAAUACACCGUGAAGUCUCCUUUUCAGGAAUGACAGCUAGAGGCACGUGAUAUCUGACUGCUCCUCUUUGUUAAGUUUAAUUGGUUGGGGUCAGAUAAGAAGAGGAGUGACAAUCAAGCCAACAGUAGAUGAUGACUGAAGAAUACCGGUUAAAUAAUACAUUCGGAUGGAUUUGGAAGUUGGAAUUCCUCUUAACAACCAAGGGGUUUAUUUUCAAAGCAAUAUUGGGGAAUUGAUUUCACAGUUCGUUACCUUAGUAGGUAACUGUAAGGUUAUUCUCUUUUUUUUUUUGGUUAUGAAAACUUAGGGACUACAAUUAAUAUAAAAAUUGGCAUAAUGUUGGAUUGAAUCUACAUUUUGGCAGAAGUUAAGCAUUCCCACAUAAUGUCAAAAUUAUACAUCAUGCAGUUUUGUUUUUUUGUUUGUUUUAUUUUGUUUUGUUUUUGAGUCUGGCUCUGUCACCCAGGCUGGAGUGCAGUGGCGUGAUCUGCAACCUCCGCCUCCCGGGUUCAAGCGAUUCUCCUGCCUCAGCCUCCCGAGUAGCUGAGAUUACAGGUGCGCGCCACCACACUUGGCUAAUUUUUGUAUUAUUAGUAGAGAUGGGGUUUCAGCAUGUUGGCUAGGCCGGUCUCUCCUGACCUCAGGGUGAUCAGCCCACCUCGGCCUCACAAAGUGCUGGGAUUACAGGCGUGAGCCACCUUGCCCAGCCCACAUCAUACAGUUUGAAAUGAAACUUUGCCACAACCAGCCUUUGCUGUAGCACACACAUAUAUCACUGAACCUGUUUGAAAUAAAGUUUUUUUUCUUUUUCAUGAUUCGUCUUUGAGUACCUCCAGGCUGAAAGACUGUUGUACCAGUAAAAACUUAAAAGGCACAAAUUCUCCUUGAAGACCUUCUCCCUUUUAUUUGGCCCCAUAUUUUAUGUUGCUUUAUCUUUGAAAUUUUGCAUGAAAAGGAAAUGAAUGUGUUAGAAUGAAGUUGUCCUUUAGAGCAUGAUUACUUAUUCCCAGGGACAAAUAUUUUUCUCCCCUUGCUCUUCCUGGCCUGAAACACGGGAAACCAUAGUCAGAAGUUAUCUCCCUCUCCCUGUGAUGCCUUGAGAUUUUUUUCUGCAUUGUUUUAUGCCUGAAAUCCAAUAGUCUUCCUCCACUGGAAAAUACUGUUAUACCAAAUAAUUCUAGAUGAGUAACAAAGAUCUUUCUAGGCCUUCAUUUUAUGUUUUUUCUUAACUGUUAUAUUAUGAUUGUGACAUAGAUUAUAAUACUACUAAUUUUUGGAUGUUUCAAAAGGUCAAGAAGUAAAAGAUGUUAGAAAGCAA